UACGGGGGGGGUAAGCGUUGUUCGGAAUUACUGGGCGUAAAGGGCUCGUAGGCGGCCAACUAAGUCAGACGUGAAAUCCCUCAGCUUAACUGGGAACUGCGUCUGAUACUGGAUGGCUUGGAUUCGGGAGAGGAAUGCGGAAUUCCAGGUGUAGCGGUGAAAUGCGUAGAUAUCUGGAGGAACACCGGUGGCGAAGGCGGCAUUCUGGACCGAUAUUGACGCUGAGGAGCGAAAGCCAGGGGAGCAAACGGG
rnacentral:rRNA from 1 species